CUUCGUGCAGACUUGGGAGUCGAGACAUAGGCGAGGCUGCUCCGCCGGCCGACACCGCCCAUUGUUGCUGUUGCUGCCUUGCGCCGGCCCUUGCUUCUUUGCCACUUUGCCUUGCCGAUUGAUUUCUUCUGCACCUGCACACGACCGGCCACCAUGCGGCAGACAGAAGACGGGCUCCCAAUGAGGCGAUCAACGAGUCGCUCAAGCCAAAUGCGUGGAAUCGCACAAGAGCGUGCUAAACUGCAAGAUGCACCUUCGAAGAAUGCAAAAUGGAGAACAGUAGUAAAUGUAUGCAAAAUUGCUUGCAAUGCAAUAAUGCAUGGACAUGAAGACAUCUGUAACCUUAUUUUUUUUGGAGGGGAAGCUCAGAACCUCCACUAAAUCAGCGAUUGAGAAUUGCAGUCUGCCCAAAGACAAUGCAUCAAAAUGCUCAGUUUCAUAGCCCAAGCAAGCCCAAAUUUGGCACACCAAUGCGCUGAAGUAUGCGUAAGUAAGAAGACUGCUUAGGCUCCCUUUGGCAUUGCGGUGGAUUAUCAUAAUCCCGUUUUUUUCACCCGCUUUUCACUAUUUUCGUGUUUGGCUAACCAACUUUUCCCUACUUUUGUGUGUAUUUUUUCACAGCAGAUUAUAAAACAAGUUCAGCGCAGCACAGUUCAGCAAUGCCAAACUGAGCCUCAUUAAUAAAUUGUUUAGGAGAAGAUGCUUGCCAUCAUUAGUAACUUUUGAAUCUUAAUGAGGGGAAAUGAUGCUAAAAUGAACCCCGCAGAGGGAGCAACGAACUGGACCACAAUUCUUUGUUUUAGACAAUGGAAGCUUUACUGAGAUCACACUUCUACUUCACAUUUUACUCUGUAUCAUGUAUCCUGAAUUCCUCACCCUUCUAUCACUACUUUCAUCCAUAACUACAGCUUGUCGAGUGCAUCCACCGCAAGACAGGUGUCUACUCGUUCAAGAAGAGGCGCAGAUGGUCAGAAGAGGAAAAUGACGUUCUGAUUCAAAUGGUACAAAAUCUUGGCACAAAGAAUUGGUCAACUAUUGCUUGUGCUAUGCCUCUUCGUAGUCGUUACCAAUGCCGGGAGAGGUGGACAUAUUACCUCAACCCUGCUUUGAAUAGACAGGCAUGGUCAGAACAGGAUGAGGUAACACUGAUCCAUGCUCAUGAAAUGCAUGGAAACAAGUGGCGUGAACUGGCUAAACUUUUUCCAGGGAGGACGGGAAAAGCAGUAAAGAAUCACUGGAACGGUCAUAUGAAGAGGAAAUUGAAAUCGUAUUUAGCCAGAGGGUUGCCGAAGCAAUUCCAAAAUCUGCCCGUCGAUCCAUCAGUUUCAAACAGGGGCUGGAGUACCCCGAAAGGUAGUCAAGACUCAUUCAAUAAUAAUCAACUUCCAUCCGAUUUGCUGAUAUGGUCCGAAUCUAAGCGAGGGCUCACAGAGACUGGUGAAAACGCAAGUAUGCUUGAUGGACAAAGUUCUGAUUCCAUAAGGUCUGUGUCGGAAGGGAAGCCAAUGAGUUCUUCACCUAAAGGAUUUGGUGCACGUUCAGCUGAUGCCCAGCCAAAGGUGGAUGCAGGGGAUGGUCAAAUUGAUAGAGUAGUAUCAAAGUUUCCUGUAGUAACCGACAAUGACAUGGAAACGGUUGUGUCAUCAAGUUCAGUGGAUCUGAAGGUGUGCGUUGCUGCACCAAGUUUUGUAAGGUCUACGUCAGAGGAGAAGCAAAUGAGUUACACAGGCUUAUCUCCAGCUCAUAGUUCCCAAUCUCGUUAUGCACAUCUCGACGAGUUGUCGGAGCUACACCAGUCUGAUAUAGCUGAUCUUCUGGACAUGUCGUAUUGCGAGAGCUUGAUGAUCAUCCCUCCCGACUCUCCACAAAGUGGCAAUGGUGGCGUGCCUGGAAUGUGAUAUUAUCGUCUUAAGUAUGUCAGGUAUCUGCAACCUGCACUAUCUAGUUGGAGAAAAAAGUGAGACUUGUGCUCCUUGGUCUUGAAACGUAUGCAGCUUUAUCUUGAACCACCAAUGUAUCAUUCUCGUCGGGUUAUUAAGUGGAGGAGAUUUGCAAAA